CUAAUACGAUUCUCAUAACUCUCUCAUGUAUUUCUAAUAGCAUUGUGUUAUUCAUGUACAUGUGUAUUGAACUAAAGAAUUUCUCUUAUGGUUUCAGCCACAAUAUUCUUAUGUUGAUGGAGAUAGAUUAGUUCCUGCUGAAUCUGCCAACGUGCUCACUUUUCUCUUUCCAUAUUUUGUAUAUGUUAUUCUUUGUUGAUAAUCAUGUUGAGUAGUUGUGACUGUUUUCUAAAAUGACGCACACAUUUCCCGUAUUAUUUUAUAACUAAUACAUAUUCUUUGUUCAUAAUUUCAUCUCAAAACGGGGACUGAUGCGAAAAAGUGUUGCACCUAUCUAUACAGGUGAAGUAAUAAGUGCUACACCUAUUUUGUUGUCAAUAAAAGUGUUGUAGCAUGGUAAUGAGGGAGUUGAUAAAAGCAUAUCCAUCAACAAUAAACAUGGUUGAUUAUAAGGGCAAUACAACAUUGCAUAUAGCUAUCAGGAAGGGUAGAACUCAGGAGAUUGUUGCUUGAUGAUUCAAGAGGUGUUGCAGAGGCCCUAAAUGAAACAGAUUGUGUUGCUGAUAAUUGCAGGGGUCUAACUGUAAAAAUUUCUUACCAACAUUCAAUUGCCAUUGCAGAGGCCCUAUAACUAACUACUUAUUUUGCAGCUCCAAGGUUAAAGACAGUCAGCCAAUUGCAAACGAUGGGUCAAUAGGUUCUCCAAUGCAAUCUACUUCAUCUAAGAUCAACAAGCCACAGAUUCAACUGUCCAUCUCCCAGCAACAGCAGGAUCCUUACUCUCACUAAUUUUACGGACUGCAAAAAUUAAUCAAGGUAAUAUAGAACUGAAGAGAUUGAUUGAGUCUAUUGCAAAUGGUGAUUCACAUGUGCCUUUUAGGGACAGCAAACUGUGUUUGAGAGACCAAAAGUUAUUUACAAUGAAAAAGCAAGAAAGUAUGUGAAGUGGAUGCAUAUCGACAGCGCCAAUUACGCAAAAGCUUUUAUCGGCAUAACAGUCAGUGAUACACCUAUCGGUCCAUUCGAAUAUCUCGGUAGCCAAAGACUGCAUGGAUAUUGUGAUCUUUGUUGUCUUAUUUAGUAUCAGUUUAAGUCAGUUAGAUCUAACCAUUUGCAUAAAAAUGUAAAGGUGAGAAGUUGAUUGGACCUAUACGAGUGUUGUGCUACGGAUGCUGUUGCGAUUGUUUUUGGUUUGAGUCUCUAUAGAAGGGCUUCUCAUGUAGAGUGUCCAGCUAUGAGAAGGGCUUCUCAUGUGGAGUUGUUUUCAAUCUACACAUGCUGUGUGUUACAGACUCUGCUGUUUUAAUGCUGCAGGUUUGUAGACUUACUUUGUUCUCCUCUCAUGGAUGUCAGUUUACUUCAAAAGCGUAAUUACAUGGCAGUGGUUUCCUCAAAUGGGGUUAAAAUGCUUUGGCAGAGUCCGCCCUUUGUUGGUAAGUGUUUUUUUGCCUAUAAUCCAAGGUUCUGCUCAUGGUCCACAACAAGAAGCGGCUCUAUAUUGAUAAAAAUAUAACCUGAUAGAAAUUAUAACCAAGAUUUUAUUAAUCUUAGCUUUGUUCUUGAAAUCUAUUAAGUGCUACUACUGAGUGAAUGAGUGGAACUUGCCAGGUAAUUUUCACAACAAAGACUGGAUUCUUCUUUAGAGUGAGGCAUGAAUUAUGAAGACACAUAUGUCAAUUGUUACAUUUUAAGCUUUGCUUUUAUCCUAAAUCCAUUUUAACAGGUAAUAGUUGGUAUGUCAUAAACCACCAGGAUAAGUUUGUUUAUCUAUCGAGAAAUUAUUCUAAGUUCUCAAAUAAUUUAUUAUCUAAGUUACCUGGAUCAAACCAAAAUUAGUACUUUUGGAUUAGAGUUGAUUUGGACCUCCACAGUUUCACCUGUGUUUAAUACAAGAUUUGCCAAGAGCCCUGCACAUAAACUGAUACAGCAGCAAAACACAUAGCUGCAUCUUUGUUAAAAAUGGUUGGUAUCUCCAAACCUCUCUAAUUGCUUCAGAUUCAUAGAAAACAAGCUUGCAUCGCCAAAAGGUUCAGCUCGCCGUUAGUUACUACUAUGACAAGCCUUCAGUCAGCACUUUCACUCCUUUCAACUUCUUUUAACCAUUAAUUCAACAUGUUAAGUUGUUGUUCUUUAGUAUGUGUUAAAAUUUGGUUUUGUUAGAGGUUACAGGUUGGUGUUGGAUUCAACUUUAUGGUAAAACAAAUUGCUGUUACAAAGUUAUGGUUUCAUUUUGAUAAUUGGAGUUGAAAAAAAUUGUGUUAAAAAGUACUGAUUUAAUAACUGUAAUGGUGGAAGAUGGGGAUGAAGCAUUAGAGAAGAAAAUAGUGAUUUAAAAAUAUAAUUUUAGAUGUAAGAUAUUAGAAUAUAUUAUUAAAUUAUUAUUUAAUUAUUAUAUUCAAUAGUUAUUUUAUAAACAUGAAUUCAAUAUAAACAUGAAUUCAAUAGUUACAAGAAAAUUUCCAACAUUUAUAAGAUUAAUGCUUGCAGUUGCAAGAAUUCAAGAUUCUUAAAUGAUGAGAUUUUUCAUUAUCUUAUUUUGGAUUAUGCUUAUCUAAUGUUGUAAAUAACUAGCCAAGUGGGAAAAAUUGAGUGCGGAUACUUCCUUCAUCCACCAAUAAUUUAAUAUACACGUGUAUUUAAUAUUAAUCAUUCAUUUCUUCUUAAUAUCUUAUUUAAC